rnacentral:rRNA from 1 species
GUGGGGAAUAUUGGACAAUGGGGGAAACCCUGAUCCAGCAAUGCCGCGUGCGUGAAGAAGGCCUUAGGGUUGUAAAGCGCUUUCACCUGUGAUGAUGAUGACAGUAACAGGAGAAGAAGCCCCGGCUAACUCCGUGCCAGCAGCCGCGGUAAUACGGAGGGGGCUAGCGUUGUUCGGAAUUACUGGGCGUAAAGGGCGUGUAGGCGGCGGAUUUAGUUAGGCGUGAAAGCCCCGGGCUCAACCUGGGAACUGCGCUUAAUACUGAUCUGCUAGAGUCCGGGAGAGGCGAGUGGAAUAUCCAGUGUAGAGGUGAAAUUCGUAGAUAUUGGAUGGAACACCAGUGGCGAAGGCGGCUCGCUGGACCGGAACUGACGCUGAGGCGCGAAAGCGUGGGGAGCAAACAGGAUUAGAUACCCCAGUAGUCC